UGAGCAAUCUGCCCUUCUCUUCGGAAUAAGCGUUGGAAACGACGUCUAAUGCCGAAUACGACCUCCUUUCGCAUGAUCGGAGGUGGAAAGCUCCGGCGGAGAAGGAUGAGCUCGCGGCCUAUCAGCUAGUUGGUGUGGGUAAUGGCCCACCAAGGCGACGACGGGUAGCCGGCCUGAGAGGGUGACCGGCCACACGUGGGACUGAGACACGGCCCAGACUCCGUACGGGAGG
rnacentral:rRNA from 1 species